AGCGCGCGCCUCUUGCCUGCGCCCCCGCGGGCCCCCAGCCCACGGAAGGUGGAGCCUCUAGGUUAGGACCGCCUGGGAGCUUCCUGGGCUAGGCUUGCGUGGAGGUGGUAGCGCCGUGGUAUUUCCAUCGCAGUCGCAGGAAGGUUCUCGGGGGAACCCCGCAGGGCCCAGGGCAGUGGGUAGGGGCGGCAGCCCUUGGCGCGCUGUACUCCUCCAUUAAAGCCCUUAGCUACCUUCUCCCACCCCCGCCCCGGGGCUAGGAGCGCCCCCACCGAGUUCACAGGGGCAGGCAUGGCGUCUUAUCUGUUUGGGGCUCCCCUGUGUCUAACCCUGUGCAUGGCCCAGAAUAGGUCCACCAGUCAGUUACCUGUUUGCAGGUUUUGCUGUAAAAAGCCUAGCCGAUACUAUACCCAGGCCGAAUACACCCAAAGGUGUCUGUGGAGGCAGAAGGGGAGACAUUACCACACUGUACCUCCGUGUUCGCCAAGCACAGUGCCUGGCAAGAGCAGAUAUUGAAUGACUGAAUGUCUAUCUGGGUCUCUUGCAAGAGCAGAGGUUCAGCACCUUUAUGGACUCUCGGGGAUGAUCAUGUGACACAGUCGCCUCCUCCCUUUGGGAGUUGCACCUCCUUCUCCCUGCUGCCAUCAUACCCUCUUCUUGUCUGAUCCUGCCCACCUCUUUCACUGAUUAGAAGAAGGAAGGCAACUUUGGUUGGCUUUAAGCAACUAUAAAUUAGUCCUGUUGUCAGUGAGCCACAAAAACUCAUAAAGAUCUGUGUGUAACAGAAGGUGCUAUUGGUGUAGCUGUUUCCAUAGGUAUACAGUUCACUUUUAUUGCUGAUUUAAAUUAUCCCUCUGAGAUGCCACUAUUAGUAGGUGACAGGGUGUGGCCAGCUGAGUUGUUUUUAACUAUAAUAAAAGUCUCUGUUAGAACCAGCCAGGCUACUGGCCUUUUCUGCUACACCCAAACACAAAAUAGUACACAGGCAAUUUCCCAAGAUACCAAGCAAUUAGGGAGAGAGUCUCCUACUCACCUGGUUGCCUUUGUCCAAAAUACUGAAUUUAUUCCAUAAGCCAUCAUCAAGAAUGUAAGCACUCAUCGGAAUCAUGCUCCCUAGAAAACCCCAUGGGUCAUACAAGUAUGACCACGUAUUGCCCAGUUAACAAGAGUUGGACCAGGACUUGGAACUUAAACCAUCUGCUGGGGUGGGAAGGCACAUGGGCACGUGGUACAACUGUACCUACUAAGAUGCAAUUGUAUCUGAAGGCACAGCGAGGUUCCUGGACAAUGAAACAUAAACCACAGUCACAGGAAGUUAUCAGCACUGGUGAUCAGUAUGGAGAAGGGGCAUUACU